UACGGAGGGUGCAAGCGUUAUCCGGAUUCACUGGUUUAAAGGGUGCGUAGGUGGGUUGGUAAGUCAGUGGUGAAAUCCCCGAGCUUAACUUGGGAACUGCCAUUGAUACUAUCAGUCUUGAAUACCGUGGAGGUUAGCGGAAUAUGUCAUGUAGCGGUGAAAUGCUUAGAUAUGACAUAGAACACCAAUUGCGAAGGCAGCUGGCUACACGAAUAUUGACACUGAGGCACGAAAGCGUGGGGAUCAAACAGG
rnacentral:rRNA from 1 species